rnacentral:rRNA from 1 species
UACGUAGGGUGCGAGCGUUAAUCGGAAUUACUGGGCGUAAAGCGUGCGCAGGCGGUUUGUAAGCCAGAUGUGAAAGCCCCGGGCUUAACCUGGGAAUGGCAUUUGGGACUGCAAGGCUAGAGUGCGGCAGAGGAGACUGGAAUUCCUGGUGUAGCAGUGAAAUGCGUAGAGUAUCAGGAGGAAUACCGAUGGCGAAGGCAGGUCUCUGGGCUGACACUGACGCUCAUGCACGAAAGCGUGGGGAGCAAACAGG